rnacentral:rRNA from 1 species
GACGAACGCUGGCGGCGUGCUUAACACAUGCAAGUCGAACGGUAAGGCCCUUCGGGGUACACGAGUGGCGAACGGGUGAGUAACACGUGGGUGAUCUGCCCUGCACUUCGGGAUAAGCCUGGGAAACUGGGUCUAAUAACGGAUAGGACCACUGCCUGCAUGGGAGGUGGUGGAAAGCUUUUGCGGUGUGGGAUGGGCCCGCGGCCUAUCAGCUUGUUGGUGGGGUGAUGGCCUACCCAGGCGACGACGGGUACCCGGCCUGAGGGGGUGACCGGGCCCACUGGGGCUGAGGUCCGGCCCAGACUCCUACGGGAGGCAGUAGUGGGAAAUAUUGCACAAUGGGAGCAAGCCUGAUGCAGCGACGCCGCGUGAGGGAUGACGGCCUUCGGGUUGUAAACCUCUUUCAGCACCGACGAAGCGCAAGUGACGGUAGGUGCAGAAGAAGGACCGGCCAACUACGUGCCAGCCGCCGCCGUAA